AAAAAGACAAACCCUGGAUUUCCGUGUCUAACUUUGACUGUCCGUCUUAUAUGAAACUUUUUUAUAAUUCGUAUUUUCAUUGUUGUUAGAUGAUAAAACAUGAUUAAUAUUUUAUGUGUGACUUAUCUUUUUAAUUUUUUUCAUAAUUUUUUAAAUAAGACGGACAGUCAAACCAG
rnacentral:pre_miRNA from 1 species